rnacentral:rRNA from 1 species
UGGGGAAUUUUUGUCAAUGGGGGAAACCCUGAACAAGCAACGCCGCGUGGAGGACGAAGACCUUCGGGUUGUAAACUCCUGUCGGAGGGGACGGAAAGCGGUCGAGGCGAAUAUCCUCGGCCGUUGACGGUACCCUACCGAGGAAGCCCCGGCCUAACUCCGUGCCAGCAGCCGCGGUAAUACGGGGGGGCGAAGCGUUGUUCGGAAUUACUGGGCGUAAAGGGCGCGUAGGCGGGCGGGCAAGUCUCUCGUGAAAGCCCACGGCUCAACCGUGGAAUUGCGGGAGAUACUGCUUGUCUUGAGUCCGGGAGAGGAGGGUGGAAUUCCCAGUGUAGCGGUGAAAUGCGUAGAUAUUGGGGAGGAACACCGGUGGCGAAGGCGGCUCUCUGGACCCGGUACUGACGCUGAGGCGCGAAAGCUAGGGGAGCAAACGGGAUUAGAUACCCCGGUAGUCCUAGCCGUAAACGAUGAGCACUUGGUGUGGCGGGUAUCGACCCCUGCCGUGCCGAAGCUAACGCAUUAAGUGCUCCGCCUGGGGAGUACGGUCG